GGGAGCCACGCCCACCGCUCCAACGUUUCUGCGCAUGCUCUGCGCGUCAGCUUCUGGUAUUUUAGGCGCGUCUGCGGAGGUCGGCGUCCGGAGGGCGGAGGGAGAGGUCGAGUAUCUGGUUUUCAAGAGCCGCUUUGAAAAGUCUCUCUUCAUCUUCAGCUUCGGAAAGGAAGGCCUCUGUUCGUCCUUUCCUUUGGCCUUCGGUGUGGCGUUGGCGGCCUGUGGUGGCGCCUACUUUCCGGGUAGGGAUCCUGAGAGACGGAGGGAAGUUUGCAGCCUCGGGCCGAGAUGUCUCAGUACGUGAACGACCUGUGGCCCGGCUCGCCGCAGGACAAGGAGUCCCCCUCGACGUCUCGGUCGGGCCGAUCCAGCCGCCUGUCCUCGGCGUCCAGGAGCCGCUCGUCUUCUGGGAGCUCUCGGUCCCGCUCCAGCGGCUCGAGCCGGGCGUCGUCGCGGAGUCGGAGCCGGCCCCGAAGGAGGAGCAGGUCCAGGUCCUGGUCCAGGCGGCGCCACCAGAGGAAGUACAGGCGCCACUCGCGCUCCUGCUCGCGCAGCCGCUCGCGCUCCCGCGGCCGCCGGUACCGGGACAGGCGCUACGGCGCGUCCAACAGAUACCGCCGGUCGCCGUGGCGGCCUCGCUCUCGCAGCCGGUCCGGCUCGCGGGGACGCACGUAUUCCCGACGGGCCUACGCGCUGCCGCGGGGGCGGCGCUAUUACGGCUUCGGCCGCACCGUGUACCCGGAGGAACGCAGAAGAUGGAGGGGCAGCUCCCGGACCAGGUCGCGGAGCCCCACCCCUUUUCGCUUGAGUGAGAAAGAUCGAAUGGAGCUGUUAGAAAUAGCAAAAGCCAAUGCAGCAAAAGCUUUAGGGACAGCUAACUUUGACUUGCCGGCUAGUCUCAGAAAAGUUCUUGCAUCUAAAGAGGUGAACCGUGGAACAGCUGUACCAAACAGUGGUGCAACGUUUGAGGUAAGUACUCUAGGUUUAUCCAAACAAAAUCUUCAGAAAGCUACUGUUGGAAAGAUCUAAUUGGCCAUUUUUAUUUGAUUUAUUUUAGAGUGCUUCUUGGAAAGCCUAAAUAUAAUUAAGAUCAAAAUAGCAGCUCUAGUGAAGGUCUCUCCCUCGUGAAAAUGGGAGAUUAGUGAUCUUCAUUUUCAUGUGACACAGUAUUAAUUACUUUCAUAGUUGUAGGUGGUAUUUGGCGAUUUCUAUGUACCUGUCGACUUUUUCUAACUAGCCUUUACAGAGUAUUUUAUCUCUAGUUUUCAUUUGCAGCAUUAUGUUCCCACAAAUUCUGUAUUCAACAUACAGUAUAGUUUAUCUGCUUUAUUUCUGUCUUAUAGAAAUCAUGAAUGUGGUCUCCAGACAUUGAUGAAGAAAAUCUGUUGCUGUUGGAAAGACAAGCAGAAGAUGGAACUAAAAAUCCCAGUGAAAAACCUUCCCAGCA